UACAAAGGGACCUAGCGUAAUUCGGAAUUACUGGGCUUAAAGAGUUCGUAGGUGGUUAAGAAGUUGAUGAUGAAAUCCCAAGGCUCAACCUUGGAACUGGCAUCAAAACUUCUUUAGCUAUUAGAAUGAUAGAGGAAAGCGGAAUUUCUAGUGGAGAGGUGAAAUUCGGUAGAUAUGUAUAAAGAACACCAAAAGCGAAGGCAGCUUUCUGGAUCAUUACUGAGACUGAGGAACGAAAGCAUGGGUAGCGAAGAGGAUUAGAUACCCUCGUAGUCCAUGCCGUAAACGAUGUGUGCUAGACGUUGGAAACUUAGUUUUCAGUGUCGCAGCGAAAGCAUUAAGCACACCGCCUGGGGAGUACGACCGCAAGGUUAAAACUCAAAUGAAUUGACGGGGACCCGCACAAGUAGUGGAGCAUGUGGUUUAAUUCGAAGAUACGCGCAGAACCUUACCAACACUUGACAUGUUCGUCGCGAGACCAAGAGAUUGGUUUCUUCAUUCAGUUGGACAAAACACAGGGGCUGCAUGUCCGUCGUCAGCUCGUGUCGUGAGAUGUUGGGUUAAGUCCCGCAACGAGCGCAACCCCUACCUUUAGUUGCCACCAUUUAGUUGGGCUCUUUAAAGGGACUGCCAGUGAUAACCUGGAGGAAGGUGGGGAUGACCUCAAGUCCUCAUGGCCCUUACGUGUUGGGCUACACACGUGCCACAAUGGCAUUUACAAUGGGAAGAUAAGACGCGAGUGCAAGCUAAUCCCAAAAAGAUGCCUCAGUUCGGAUUCUGCUCUGUAACUCGAGUGCAGGAAUCUGGAAUUAUUAGUAAUCGCGGAUCAGCGCGCCGCGGUGAAUACGUUCCCGGGUCU
rnacentral:rRNA from 1 species